rnacentral:rRNA from 1 species
AAAGUCUGACGGAGCAACGCCGCGUGAGUGAUGAAGGUUUUCGGAUCGUAAAACUCUGUUGUCAGGGAAGAACAAGUGCCGGAGUAACUGCCGGCACCUUGACGGUACCUGACCAGAAAGCCACGGCUAACUACGUGCCAGCAGCCGCGGUAAUACGUAGGUGGCAAGCGUUGUCCGGAAUUAUUGGGCGUAAAGCGCGCGCAGGCGGUUUCUUAAGUCUGAUGUGAAAGCCCCCGGCUCAACCGGGGAGGGUCAUUGGAAACUGGGAAACUUGAGUGCAGAAGAGGAGAGUGGAAUUCCACGUGUAGCGGUGAAAUGCGUAGAGAUGUGGAGGAACACCAGUGGCGAAGGCGACUCUCUGGUCUGUAACUGACGCUGAGGCGCGAAAGCGUGGGGAGCGAACAGGAUUAGAUACCCUGGUAGUCCACGCCGUAAACGAUGAGUGCUAAGUGUUAGAGGGUUUCCGCCCUUUAGUGCUGCAGCUAACGCAUUAAGCACUCCGCCUGGGGAGUACGGUCGCAAGACUGAAACUCAAAGGAAUUGACGGGGGCCCGCACAAGCGGUGGAGCAUGUGGUUUAAUUCGAAGCAACGCGAAGAACCUUACCAGGUCUUGACAUCCUUUGCCACUUCUAGAGAUAGAAGGUUCCCCUUCGGGGGACAAAGUGACAGGUGGUGCAUGGUUGUCGUCAGCUCGUGUCGUGAGAUGUUGGGUUAAGUCCCGCAACGAGCGCAACCCUUGAUCUUAGUUGCCAGCAUUCAGUUGGGCACUCUAAGGUGACUGCCGGUGACAAACCGGAGGAAGGUGGGGAUGACGUCAAAUCAUCAUGCCCCUUAUGACCUGGGCUACACACGUGCUACAAUGGAUGGUACAAAGGGCUGCGAGACCGCGAGGUUUAGCCAAUCCCAUAAAACCAUUCUCAGUUCGGAUUGCAGGCUGCAACUC